CUACUAUACUAGGAAUAAUCCUAAAUCAUCAACAAGACAUUAUGGUACCUACUUGGUCCUUAAUUCAUCAGCACACAUACAUUCUAUUUUCCAUGUCCCUCAAUUGAAGAAGGCAGUAGAAAACCAUCAUGUCUGUCACACAAGAAUUACUUGUGGAUUUCAAGAUGAUGGAUUAUUCUGCCAAAUAAACAAGGAAGAACUAAUACAAUGAGACAAACAUUCCUUACGUAUCACACAUCGAGCUCAUGAAUAUAUUGUUGUGUUCCCCAUGUAAGACUUUGUGAACAAGUGAAAUGGUUUAGGUAAAACUAUCCCAAAUGAAGACGUAGUUAAUAAGGUAGUGUUGAGUUAUGUAUUUUCUUCAAGUUCUUUUAAUUAAACGUUUUAAUUGAACGAGAAGAAAAUAUAUUCAAAAAUAACUUAAGGGAAAAUUGUUAGAAGUAAAAACAUAGUUUCAACCAUCCAUUUCUUGUGUUUUUCAUAACCUUAAGUAGCAAAACAAUGAUCAUAUAAUUCGAAUAACAUAGGAGCUUGUUGAGAGAAAAAUUGCACAAGGCAUCGUCAUGUGUAUCUAUAGAGAAAAUGUAGCUUGAUCUUGGAGAGAUGUCUCAUUUGUAGUUAACUUUGAUUUGAUCCAAUAAUACACUC
rnacentral:lncRNA from 1 species